UGUCUCUUUUCUGUUUCGUCCAUAAGUGAUAUGGUUAAAAUUUCCACCCAGCAAAUCCAAUCCUGUUUUUCUAGGGCAGCAAUUCCCGAAACCCGCUCUGUUCCAGCGCCUUUCCAGCUACUACGAAUUUUAGUGCUUAGUUUCACUCAGCGCUCCAAACGGAGCAGAUUUUCCAUGCUAACGCUCGGUCGCUGAUCAAACAUGCACAUUGCGGAACUUGAAUUUUAGGGUACAAGCUGGAGUUUUUCUGUGCUACGAGUUAAGUUUGAAUGAACGUUGAUGGUUUGGCGGGAGCGAACCUAACAGAUUUUUUAACUGCGUAGUCGUACUACGAAAUGUGCGAAAUGUAUAAUUGUCCAGUAACUUAUACAGUGGAAGAAGACCGGCUGGCAUGGAACUCCGAAGAAAUGGUUCAAGAAGACCGAGUGAUUCUCGAAACGGAAAUAACGCUGAAGACUGGACCAAAUAUUACCAUGAAGAUACAUGAGGAAAGUCGCUGCAACAGCGAGCUUAGUGGCACGUUUACUGAAAGUGAAGAGGAUUCCAAGAGAAGAGCAAUCAUCAAAGUGUUGAAUGACGAUAGUGAAACUGAAGGUUACGAAGAGUCCAGAACAUCUCCAAGAACACCGAGGAAAGUGCGGUUUGGGGGCGAAUCAGUGAAGCUGCGGACACCGGAAAGCGACAGCAGCCAUCAAGCCGAAGAGGAAGACAACCAAUCCAUCUUAACAAUCACAGUUACUGAUGCAGUUUCCAUUACUACCAGGAAAAGCCUUAUUCCAGGCAAGAGAAAUAUUCUUAAAUUAUCGAGAAAUUAGUGAAGAUUUUAAAAAAAUCUAGUUCGCAUUUCGUCGCUUCCAUCCAGCCCUAAGAAAAGCACUUUACCAGACCCAAAACCUUUGAAAAAGCAAUAUCAGUCAGCCCCAAAUCUUAGUGCGCUUUCGUCGAAAAUCCCCAUCAGGAAACAUGCUCUUCAGGAAAAGAAGAAAGUGGCACUGGAAACCGGUGAAACGUCUGGAAUUAACCACACAAGUUCAAAGGCUGCAGAAAAACCGGCGAGUUUAAAGCCGCCCAUAUUGAAGCACAGUCGGGCUGAAGAUGUGUUGUCUCCGGUGCCUGUUCACAAUGAAAUUGAAGUUUUCCACAAUCUGACCAGAAGCCCGGAAAGAUCCAGACAAUCUUCGCUUACAGGUGAAAACAAGGAGGAACCUUCAGAACUGGAAAAAGAGCGUGAAGAACCCGCGGCUCAAGCAAAGACAUACGACAGCUUUCAGGUGUACAAAGAGGUUCCACUGCUGAAACUACCAAAAGAGAGCUCAGUAGUAAUAGAAGAAAUCACCGAAAGUAAUGCUUUGAAGGUGCACAAUGGGAAACCCUCAGCGUUGCAACAGUCGCUGUCUUCACUCACUA
rnacentral:misc_RNA from 1 species